rnacentral:rRNA from 1 species
GAUCCUGGCUCAGGAUGAACGCUAGCUACAGGCUUAACACAUGCAAGUCGAGGGGCAGCAUUUCAGUUUGCUUGCAAACUGGAGAUGGCGACCGGCGCACGGGUGAGUAACACGUAUCCAACCUGCCGAUAACUCGGGGAUAGCCUUUCGAAAGAAAGAUUAAUACCCGAUGGUAUAAUCAGACCGCAUGGUCUGUUAUUAAAGAAUUUCGGUUAUCGAUGGGGAUGCGUUCCAUUAGGCUAGG